UACAGAGGCCCCAAGCGUUGUUCGGAAUUACUGGGCGUAAAGAGUGAUAAGGUUGUUUUCCCAGUCAAUUUUUAAACACAAAAGCUCAACUUUUGCACUUUUAUUGAUACUAGAAAACUAGAGUUUUGAACGGGAAAGUAGAAUUUACGGUGUAGCAGUGAAAUGCGUGGAUAUCGUAAGGAAAACCAAAAGCGAAGGCAGCUUUCUAGUCAACUACUGACACUGACACACUAAAGCUAGGGGAGCAAACGGG
rnacentral:rRNA from 1 species